UAGGGAAUUUUCGGCAAUGGGGGGAACCCUGACCGAGCAACGCCGCGUGAAGGAAGAAGGAAUUCGUUCUGUAAACUUCUGUUAUAAAGGAAGAAAGACGGAUGGAGGAAAUGACAUCCGAGUGACGGUACUUUAUGAGAAAGCCACGGCUAACUACGUGCCAGCAGCCGCGGUAAUACGUAGGUGGCAAGCGUUAUCCGGAAUUAUUGGGCGUAAAGAGGGAGCAGGCGGCAGCAAAGGUCUGUGGUGAAAGACUGAAGCUUAACUUCAGUAAGCCAUAGAAACCGGGCAGCUAGAGUGCAGGAGAGGAUCGUGGAAUUCCAUGUGUAGCGGUGAAAUGCGUAGAUAUAUGGAGGAACACCAGUGGCGAAGGCGACGAUCUGGCCUGCAACUGACGCUCAGUCCCGAAAGCGUGGGGAGCAAAUA
rnacentral:rRNA from 2 species